GAUGAACGCUAGCUACAGGCUUAACACAUGCAAGUCGAGGGGAAACGACAGAGGAAGCUUGCUUCCUUUGGGCGUCGACCGGCGCACGGGUGAGUAACGCGUAUCCAACCUUCCCGCAAGUAAGGGAUAACCCGUAGAAAUGCGGCCUAAUACCUUAUGUUUUCCUUAGAGGGCAUCUGAUGAGGAACAAAGAUCCGUCGCUUGCGGAUGGGGAUGCGUCUGAUUAGCUUGUUGGCGGGGUAACGGCCCACCAAGGCGACGAUCAGUAGGGGUUCUGAGAGGAAGGUCCCCCACAUUGGAACUGAGACACGGUCCAAACUCCUACGGGAGGCAGCAGUGAGGAAUAUUGGUCAAUGGGCGAGAGCCUGAACCAGCCAAGUAGCGUGCAGGACGACGGCCCUAUGGGUUGUAAACUGCUUUUGUGCGGGGAUAAAGUGUGGGACGUGUCCCAUAUUGCAGGUACCGCAUGAAUAAGGACCGGCUAAAUUCCGUG
rnacentral:rRNA from 1 species